UUUGAAGAGAUUUUUCACAGUGAGGAAAAAAAAGAAAAAAGUAAACAUUAGAAAACAUGCUGCAGUCCUGCAGGAUGCAGUCUGCUGCAAAUGCUGAACUUGUUUUUUAUCGUCAUUAUUAUUUUACAUGGCAACGUUGCUGUCGAUGACAUUAGUGCUUUUUAUCUGCCACAUUUUACCUUUUUUAUGAGCUUUAAAGAUGUUUUUAGCCCGCUUUGCUUGUCACACUGCAAAAAAAAACUCACAAAAAAAAGGAGGAAAAAAAAUAAAUAAAAUGAGCAGGAGGAAAACAAAAAACUACAGAGAAAAUUCUGGCAGUAAAACAAAAAAAAAAACAACAACGUUAGAUUCAGUAGGAGCUUAUGGUUUAAACCAAUCAGUGCAAAAGCAAUAGAAAGAAAUUGUUGACAAUUUCUGUAGUCUUUCCUAGUUGUGGAUCAAAUGCAGCCCAUGGAUGGCCAUUUUUAUACCAAAGAUGAAGAGACACUCUGAACCAGAGUUUAGUUUUUGUUUUAUUGUUUCCUUUUGUUUUGUUUUCCUUUUCAUUUUUCAGUUUGAUUUUGUUGUUGUUGAUGUUGUUGUUGUUGAUGAUGUUAAUGUUGAUGUUGAUGUUGUUGUUGCUGUUGUUGUCGGGUUUUUUUCUGCUUUUUUUUUUUUUUUUUCAUUAUUUUUUCAUUUUUUUGGUUUUGUUUUUUACCUUAAUGGCCGGACCAGUCCUUGCUAUCCUUCUUAACCGGGUUUAAGAACACUUUUCACAGUUGUCCGAGCUGUCGCGCACGCUCACGCAUAUCGAUAACGCUCAUACGCCGUCUCAGACACACACAUCAGACAGUAUUGAAUUGCGUGGCAGUUUUAUCAAAAGUCCUCUUUCUGUCUUUUAAUUUCUCUCGUGUGUGUGUCUCAUCUCUUCUUCUUCUGUAAUGCUUUCACACACUGUGUGUGCAUUCCACCUCUGUCUCUCUCUCUCAAAUCCUGCAGGGAAAACUUUAGGAAUCAGACUGGGGAAUGUUGCUGUGUCUGCUAAGUGGUCGUUGACGCGACACAUCGCUUCCAGCUAAUUUCAUUCUGUUUAUCUGUUUAAUUCAACCAUAACUAUCUCAGCCAUUUCUCAGUGUACUAAGCUUCAGCGGGAAGCCCCCCCUGCUGCUGUUUGACCUCAUGUUUAAUCAGUAUGUCAUAGGUGGAUCGCUUUCUAAUAUAUUUAUGUGCUCAAAACACCAGAGUCACGUUUGCUGCAUAUUGUGCAUAGAUUGCUCCCCAAAAGGAACAAAACUGAAGUCUUUUGGUAAUGAUUGCAUAAACUUUACGGCACUUAAUGGCACUGUCCUUCUGUUUACAGCAGCCUAACUGAGUAGUUUGACAUUUUGGGAAAAUUAUCGCAAUUUUUUUUCUUUUGAAUUUUAUAAUCUUGCUGGAUUAGUCAGCACCCAGCAGUUUGGCUUAGCCUUGAACACUAAGUGGAGCAGAAAACCUUGCAGCACCACUUGUUGUAUCUCAUUUGUUUUGUACAAAAAUAACACCUUUAGUCUUGCAACGGUCUGGUGAUCUGUCCACGGUGUACCCCGCCUCUCAUCCUGUGACAGCUGGGAUUGGCCCCUCCCCACCACGGCCCUGAAUUAGACAAGCAGAAGAACACGGAUGGAGAAAUAUUCCUCUGAACCACAUUUAACUGAGUGGACAUGUAGUAACCACUCGCUUUGCUUUUGUAUUAUUUGUGUGGUAAGCCCGCUGUCACUACCGCCUGCCAUCACUGUGACGCUAACAAAGCAUGGAGGUAAGGAGUUUAAAAGCAAGAAGAGGACUGCUUGUCUUGAACAUCCGUCCUGAUCAUUUGUAGAAGGUCAGCACACCUGUGGGAAGUAACUAGGCUUCCCACCAGCCAUAACAGGAUGUCGAUGGCAGCUUCUUCCUCAACCUCGCCGCUGAGUGUCAGUUACACCCCUAGUUGUCCCAAUUUGUUGCACAAACAACCCCGUCUCGUCUGAUCCGGUCUUUCCAUCCCUGAGCCGCAUGAGGUUUUUUUCAGUGACUUCAUCUCUGUGGAUUGUCCCCAGAGAAAUUGCCUGUGGGUCAUUUCUGCCCGUAUUACAGAAAGCCUGUGUGUGUCGGGAACGCUGUGUGCGUCUGUGUUCUGCUCACCCGUGGCCUCCCCUGCUCGGCCUCGGCCGUGGUGCCGCAGCACUAAAAAGAACCGCGGCUUCGCUAGCAACAUUAAUGUGCCAUGGUCAAGCCACCCUCCUUUGCUCUCAUUUUCCCCUCACUGUCAUCCUCUCCCUCUUCCACCAACACCGCCACCCCCGUCUCUCACGCUAUCUCUCUCUCACUCUCUCUGAGGUUUCUUCUCUUUAUUGGAUGGUGCAGAAGCAGAACCACAAACCAAUUUCAGUCACUCUCGCAAUGAGGCUUGACGGGCCCAAUUUGUCUCCCUCCGGGGCAAUAGGAUCCACUCCAGUGUCCCUCAAAAGACCCCUUUCUUGCGGAGAGAGGGGGAGCUUUUUGUUUGGUGACAAUUGCAAUUGAGCACUCGCAGUUCAUGUGACUCAUUCAAAUCCUGUGCUCCUGGCAGUGUGCACGUUGCAAAGUGAACUGCGGUAUGUCAUCAUUCGCGGUGAUUUCUCGUUUUCCUUUUUUUCGUAAGCAACAAUCAAACUGUACGUUGAGUGCCUUUUUAACAAAGCUUCCAAAUAAUUCCAAAUCAUCUGUGUAAUUGUUAAUAAAGCAAAGCACAUGGAAAAGCUUGUUAAAGAAGCUGUGCUGGGGAAACGCUACUCUAUGGUGCUAAAGAUGAAGCUGUCUUGGGCUUCUGCCUUUCAUUGCGAUCGGUGAUUUUCUGUGGUGAGCCGGCCACUGUUGAUCACUUGGCCGCGAGCUCGAUCUUAACCGGCCUCCUGUCCACUCGAUGACACAAAAAGAUAGUUCCCGAAGUGAACUACACUGUAAAAGCCAUAUUUUUAUUUUCCCUCAGUCGCACCGCGAGCACCCUCCGAAGAUUCCUGUCUUCCAUCCACCGACGGACAUCAGAAGCCAGAUGUGUCACUCGAGCUUUCCCUCACUGACUGUUAUCCGGUCACAUCAACACAUUGGGCCUUUCCUUUCAUCUGAUCUACCACUCAGCAUCUGCUUUUGCUCGCCCUCAGGCUACGAUCUGCUCUUAUCUCCCAUGGAACAAGUCCCUUCCACCUCCAACUGCUAACAACUUACUGUUGGGCUUUAGGGUUCCCUCGUCGUGCCAACGCUGCUCAUCUGUUCACAGCUGUUCGUUUUUAAGUGUCCUGACGAAACAACCGAGCUGCUACACUUUACCAGUUUUAAGCUAGUGUGUGUUUUUGUGUGUCUGGUGUAUAUGUGAAGAGUUGUUUGUGUUAGUGCUUCAACCUUUAGCAAGGUUAUGAGUACAGCAUAGCUAAAACUGAGUUCUCUAGACUUUUACAGCUGCUGUUUUAUAGAGUACAGGAGACAUUUUGAAGCUUAAUAGGACUCAUAAUGCAGGAGUUGCACAUCAGAGAGCAGAGCGUCCUACAAAUGGCCUGAGAUUCAAUAGUAAUGGCAUUAUGGGAAAUGGGAUUACAAAUAGCCAAGAGAUUAUGGGGGAAAAAAUGCACAACAAAAGGAUAUCAGUUCUAUUUUGCUAAUGGAAAUUCAAGAAAGAAAAAGAUGUUAAGGCAGGUGUUUGCUACUAGUGCACAGUACCAAUAUUUCACAUAGAUCUGAAAGAUUACCCAACAAACAGAAAUGGCUUUUUCUUAAUAGCACAAUGGCAUAAUGUACCUUUUCAGAAUACGAAUACCUUCUCCGAAGUGUACAGAGGGCAUGCCUGCAAUUUUAAGGAGGCAGGAGCAGAAACUGCUCCCAUUCAGCCCGUGUGUCAGCACAAACCAGAAGCCAGCCAUACCCAGAGAGAAAGUGGAUGCGUAAGAAGAAAAAGAGGAGGUGAUCAUUAGCUCCUGUUGCCGGGCAGAAAGUGGCCCUAGCCUCAAGUUUCUUUGUCGCGAUGCAGCGGUGUGUUCCCUGUACAGGACUGUAGGAGGUGACCGACGCGACCCCCGUGCUAAUUAGGAGCACAUUCUCGCCCCUUCUUUGUCCAUCACACCAACACCUCCCUCCCUUUUUGUACACAGCCACUCAUCAUUUUAAGUUUUCUGUGUGAUGUGCAGUACCUCGCUGUCACACUUGACUUUCCUCUUCUUCAAGUUCACAGUAGCCACAGUAUGUCCUUUUCAGCUUUUAGAGGGAAGUCUGUUCAUCGCUGUUACGGCUGCUUUAAAGUGCCGACGUCCAUUUGGAACAAGACACCAUCUCAAAAGGAUCCAUCUGGGGUAGUAGGAUGCCUCCUGGGAAUUGGGAUGCCACUGGGUGGAGACCCUGGUGCAGGCCCAGGAUGCACUGGAGGGGAAUAUGUGCAUCAGUUAGCUUGGGAAUGCAUGCUCCACCGGAAGAGGCGAAGGACGUGGCUUCAGAGAGGGAGGUCUGGGCCUCUCUGCUUAGACUACUGCCACCUGUGACCUGGACUCAGGUAAAUGGUGCAAAAUGGGUGUUACUUUUGAGAUAUUUAAUAAUUGUAAUCAUGAGAAAGUACAUGGAAGGAAAGAGGGAUCUCUUAUGACCAGAAAAGGAGGCAUUGUCCAUUGUUGAGAGAAGUUUUGACAAUGUCAUUUUCCCUUCUCUGCUACUUCGGUGCACGAGCAUGUGAGAGUCCUGCUGGAAUCAAAAUUUGCAAGCAACAAUAAUUUGCAAAUCCUACCAUCUGGAUUCUCACAAAUCGCUUUAGUGAAACAGGCCCCUGGACUGUAGUCCAAUGUGAUGCCUGCUCACUGAGGAGGGACAGCAGUUUGUAGGGGUAAUAUCCAUGCUGGCUUGUUUCUCAUAUUAUGGGCCCUAAUGGUGCUCUUUACACCUCUUUUUUCCCUACUCAGCUGUCAGGAGGAUAACCAGUUGCUGCCAGUGUGCCACAAAAGUUGUCCUAAAGUUUCUGCAAUCAUGAUGUGAACAACUUAAAUUUGUGUUUAGACAUUCCUCUGUCUCAUAUCUAAAUCUCACACAUCUGAAACCCUUAAAGAAACCCGAAUCCGAUGCUCAGCAUUUUCUUCCAACUUCUGUUUGAUGCAGGAAGAUGAAAAAAUACUGUACGUUCAGAGAAAGUGUGGGGGGAAAAAGAGAGGGUGUGUGAUUUCUGUUCACACACUCUCUACAAGAUGACUCUGAUCCUCUGUGAGCUUGAGAUACCUAAUGAAGUACAGAUCUUGAGAUGUUACCUACAUCCCGGUUUUCUCCGGUGUAAGUCUUUCAUGGCGAGGUGCUUAUUUCACUGCCUUUAAGGAGGACUUUUUUCUUUUUUUUAAACCCAAUCCGUCCCUUUCUCACCAUUACUCACAAUCACUGCCGCCUUCCUUAAAUCUGCCCCAGAAAAUCAUUUAUGUAGUGUGGCUUCCGCACUGUCAAAGGAGUAAACUCAUUAGAUGUAUUACACGUCACGCUCGGUUUUCACGAGGCUCUUGUGGAUUCAUUCGUCGUGAACGGAGUCGUAGCCAUUCCUCAUUGAUUGUCGUGUGUUAGGAAAACAGUAGUUCAGAGUUACUCUCACAGACUGAGUGUAAAGGAGAGCUGUGGCUCAAUAAGUCAUCACAGACCAGCACAAUCACACACACACACACACACACACUUUCUCUCCGAACAUAUAAUGCAGUGGGAAAAUUGCUCCAGCUAACCCCCUCCCUCCCCACAAGAGCGAGGCCCUGUGCUUUUUAAUUGAUGCUUCGGUCCACCUUUGAUGAGGGCUGAUCGAUUGGCCACACAACCCCAGGAGCUCAGCCACUCAGCCAGCCAGCACAGCCCUCGUGGAGUUCAAACGUCUCCCUGAGAAAUCCAGAAUCUAAUGAUCACUAGGAAAUGGCCAACCGAAUAUGUUAAGAUAGCCGGCACAGAGAGUGCAUUAGGCAUGGGACUCAUUUACCAGAUAAAAAGAGGAACUAUUUAUUAGGACAGCAGAGCGGUUUUUAAUUUGUUUUUGGGGUUUAUUUUGUUUUGUUUUUUUAUUUUUAGUUUUCUCUUCCUUUUUUUUUGGAUUGUUUUGGGUUUUUUCUUCCACUUUUCUUCGUUUCAGCGCCGAGGAGGACACGGUCACGCCUCGCACACGCUGCUCAGUGUGUGUGAUCUUGGAGAAAUUAUCUGUACAUCUGUGGAUGUUAGGAUUUGGAUUUUAUGAGUUGUUUUUUUCUCUCUGAUGAAGCUUUCAAUAAAAAAAUGUGGAAAAAAA
ensembl:lncRNA